rnacentral:rRNA from 1 species
UACGUAGGGAGCAAGCGUUGUCCGGAAUUACUGGGUGUAAAGGGAGCGUAGGCGGGAUGGCAAGUUGGGUGUUAAAUCUACCGGCUCAACUGGUAGUCGCACUCAAAACUGCUAUUCUUGAGUGAAGUAGAGGCAGGCGGAAUUCCUAGUGUAGCGGUGAAAUGCGUAGAUAUCACGAAGAACUCCGAUUGCGAAGGCAGCUCACUGGACUGCAACUGACACUGAGGCUCGAAAGUGUGGGUAUCAAACAGG